rnacentral:misc_RNA from 1 species
AAGUCGUAACAAGGUUUCCGUAGGUGAACCUGCGGAAGGAUCAUUAACACGUAUCCAACGUUAAACAACCCUGUGAACUUUAAGUCCCCUCUAUCCCGGUAAAUCAUUGCCAAACAGUUUUGAUUCGGGACCUCUGUCCAAAAGGAGUUGCAAUCGAAGGGUGGAAGCAGUGGCAUGGCUUCCCCAAGCAGUUAGUGAAUGACAGUGUCACUGACUGUGUAAGGAUAACGCCUCACGGUUGCUAGAGGUCGAUCACCGACCGGCAGACAUGUCACAGGGUCACCACGCCCCUUAAUCACUCCACUUGAAAAUGCCCCGCCUAGUGGUAACGCGCUAGGUAAAAAAAACCGAACAACUGUUAACAAUGGAUAUCUUGGUUCUC